GGCAUUGAUAAUGGAAAAUAUUUAAAUAAUUAAUAAUUCAAUUAGGGGCCUAUAAAUAAUUUUCAAUCUAAUCUCAAAUAUAGCCCCCUCGAACAAGCACUAAUCAGGGCCGUGAAAACUAUCAAGAGCGCAGGGUUCCUCUCUUCCGUCCUAUCCCUUGCCAGUCUUCUCGUCUUCUCCUUCGUUGUCUUCGAUUCCAUGGCAAUCACCUAUCUCCUUAGAUUUAGAGCCGUCUCUAAUGGCCAUAUCUUAGCCUCUAAAGGAGAUCGGGUAACCGCACGAUCUCACGGCCUCCUUCGUCUU
rnacentral:lncRNA from 1 species